rnacentral:rRNA from 1 species
GAUGAACGCUGGCGGCGUGCCUAAUACAUGCAAGUCGAGCGAACGGACGAGAAGCUUGCUUUUCUGAUGUUAGCGGCGGACGGGUGAGUAACACGUGGAUAACCUACCUAUAAGACUGGGAUAACUUCGGGAAACCGGAGCUAAUACCGGAUAAUAUUUUGAACCGCAUGGUUCAAAAGUGAAAGACGGUCUUGCUGUCACUUAUAGCUGGAUCCGCGCUGCAUUAGCUAGUUGGUAAGGUAACGGCUUACCAAGGCAACGAUGCAUAGCCGACCUGAGAGGGGGAGCGGCCGCACUGGAACUGAGCAGCGGUCCAGACUGCUACGGGAGGCAGCAGUAGGGAAUCUUACGCAAUGGGCGAAAGACUGACGGAGCAACGCCGCGUGAGUGAUGAAGGUCUUCGGAGCGUAAAAAUCGGUUAUGAGGGAAGAACAUAUGUGUAAGUAACUGUGCACAGCGUGAAGGUACCGAAUCAGAAAGCCACGGCUAACUACGUG